rnacentral:rRNA from 1 species
UACGUAGGGUACGAGCGUUAUCCGGAAUUAUUGGGCGUAAAGAGCUCGUAGGCGGUUUGUCGCGUCUGUCGUGAAAAUCCGGGGCUUAACCCCGGAUCUGCGGUGGGUACGGGCAGACUAGAGUGCAGUAGGGGAGACUGGAAUUCCUGGUGUAGCGGUGGAAUGCGCAGAUAUCAGGAGGAACACCGAUGGCGAAGGCAGGUCUCUGGGCUGUAACUGACGCUGAGGAGCGAAAGCAUGGGGAGCGAACAGG